rnacentral:rRNA from 1 species
GCACAAGCAGCGGAGCGUGUGGUUAAUUCGAUGCUACACGAGAACUUACCAGGGUUUGACAUGCAAGUGGUAGGAAACCGAAAGGCGACCGACCCUUCGGGGAGCUUGCACAGGUGCUGCAUGGCUGUCGUCAGCUCGUGUCGUGAGAUGUUCGGUUAAGUCCGCUAACGAGCGCAACCCUCGCUGUGUGUUACAAGUGUCACACGGUACUGCCGGUCUUAAAGCCGGAGGAAGGUGGGGAUGACGUCAAGUCAGCAUGGCCUUUAUGUCCUGGGCUACACACACGCUACAAUGGCCAACACAAUAGGUUGCUAAGCCGCGAGGUGGAGCCAAUCCUCAAAGUUGGUCUCAGUUCAGAUUGCAGGCUGCAACCCGCCUGCAUGAAGAUGGAGUUGCUAGUAACCGCAGGUCAGCUAUACUGCGGUGAAUACGUUCCCGGGGCUU